rnacentral:misc_RNA from 1 species
CGAUCCUCAAGUUUUAACUUGGUGUUGGGUGAAGUCCCUUAGGGGGGACCCACCCUUAACUUGUAGGCGGUCAUCGCCCUUUUCCUUCAGCGUAGCAGGCUAAACGCACUCGCUCAAGGUUAGGCAGUUUGACUCGCUAAAUAAAAACCUCUUUUAAAG